rnacentral:tRNA from 1 species
CCCCCGAUGGUCUAGUUGGAUAUGACGCUCGGCUGUAAUGGAACUAUCUGUGUAACCGAGAGGUCGCUGGCUCGAUUCCGGCUCGGGGGA